UUUCCGUAGGUGAACCUGCGGAAGGAUCAUUACUGAGUGAGGGCCCUCUGGGUCCAACCUCCCACCCGUGUUUAUUGUACCUUGUUGCUUCGGUGCGCCCGCCUCACGGCCGCCGGGGGGCUUCUGCCCCCGGGUCCGCGCGCACCGGAGACACCAUUGAACUCUGUCUGAAGAUUGCAGUCUGAGCAUAAACUAAAUAAGUUAAAACUUUCAACAACGGAUCUCUUGGUUCCGGCAUCGAUGAAGAACGCAGCGAAAUGCGAUAACUAAUGUGAAUUGCAGAAUUCAGUGAAUCAUCGAGUCUUUGAACGCACAUUGCGCCCCCUGGUAUUCCGGGGGGCAUGCCUGUCCGAGCGUCAUUGCUGCCCUCAAGCACGGCUUGUGUGUUGGGCUCCGUCCCCCCGGGGACGGGUCCGAAAGGCAGCGGCGGCACCGAGUCCGGUCCUCGAGCGUAUGGGGCUUUGUCACCCGCUCUGUAGGCCCGGCCGGCGCCAGCCGACAACCAAUCAUCCUUUUUUCAGGUUGACCUCGGAUCAGGUAGGGAUACCCGCUGAACUUAA
rnacentral:rRNA from 4 species